CCUACGGGAGGCAGCAGUGAGGAAUAUUGGUCAAUGGACGAGAGCCUGAACCAGCCAAGUAGCGUGAAGGAUGACUGCCCUAUGGGUUGUAAACUUCUUUUAUAUGGGAAUAAAGUGUUCCACGUGUGGGAUUUUGUAUGUACCAUAUGAAUAAGGAUCGGCUAACUCCGUGCCAGCAGCCGCGGUAAUACGGAGGAUCCGAGCGUUAUCCGGAUUUAUUGGGUUUAAAGGGAGCGUAGGUGGAUUGUUAAGUCAGUUGUGAAAGUUUGCGGCUCAACCGGAAAAUUGCAGUUGAAACUGGCAGUAUUGAGUACAGGUGAGGUAGGCGGAAUUCGUGGGGUAGCGGUGAAAUGCUUAGAUAUCACGAAGAACUCCGAUUGCGAAGGCAGCUUACUGGACUGGAACUGACACUGAUGCUCGAAAGUGUGGGUAUCAAACAGGAUUAGAUACCCUAGUAGUC
rnacentral:rRNA from 1 species